AGAAAGGUAAGCUAAAUACAAGCUAAUGGGUUCAUACCCCACUUAUAGAAUAUAAUUUCUCUUUUCUA
rnacentral:tRNA from 1 species